ACCAGGUCCAGACAUUAGAAGGAUUGACAGAUUGAUAGCUCUUUCAUGAUUUGAUGGGUGGUGGUGCAUGGCCGUUCUUAGUUGGUGGAGUGAUUUGUCUGGUUAAUUCCGAUAACGAACGAGACCUUUACCAUACUAACUAGUUAUAURUAUWCUUUUGUAUAUAUAGAUGAACUUCUUAGAGGGACUAUUGGUUUACAAACCAAAGGAAGUAAAGGCGAUAACAGGUCUGUGAUGCCCUUAGAUGUUCUGGGCUGCACGCGCGCUACAAUGAUARAAUCAUCAAGUAAUUUUACGAUAUGCUUACRCUGGAAGGUGUGGCUAAUCUUCAAGUYCUAUCGUGCUUGGGAUAGAUGAUUGCAAUUAUUCAUCUCAAACCAGGAAUUCCUAGUAAUCGUAGCUCAUCAGGCUGCGAUGAUUACGUCCCUGCCCCU
rnacentral:rRNA from 1 species